ensembl:snoRNA
UUGCACUGUCUUUGAACCUUGUUGGUCUUGUCCAUGACCUCUUAGGCCAAGCUACAGUGCUAAAGCAAAGUGAGACUUGUUCAUAACUGGGGCCUCCUGGCAACACUUCCCAGGUUGCUCUUUUAAAAGCAAGUCACAGCU